CCCUUAGAUGUUCUGGGCCGCAUGCGUGCUACACUGAGUGGAUCAGCGGGUCAGGUUGCGCGAAAGCGUUUCCUAAUCUUUAAAUCCGCUCGUGAUGGGGAUUGACGGUUGCAAUUUUCUGUCAUGAACGAGGAAUACCUUGUAAGCGCGGGUCAUCAUCCCGCGCUGAAUACGUCCCUGCCCUUUGUACACACCGCCCGUCGCUCCUACCGAUUGAGUGGUCCGGUGAGGCUUUGGGAUCUGAGCGGAAAGAGCGUUUCGCUGUUUCUGCUCGGAAAACUCAGUCGAACCUUAUCAUUUAGAGGAAGGAGAAGUCGUAACA
rnacentral:rRNA from 1 species